AGCAGCCGCGGUAAUUCCAGCUCCAAUAGCGUAUAUUAAAGUUGUUGCAGUUAAAAAGCUCGUAGUUGAAUUUCGGGAUCAAUGCGUCGGUCGUGCCUUCGGUACGUACUAGCGUCAUUGAUUCCUCCCUUCUGAAGAACCGUGAUGUCAUUAAUUUGGUGUUACGGGGAAUCAGGACUGUUACCUUGAAAAAUUAGAGUGUUUAAAGCAGGCUAACGCUUGAAUACAUUAGCAUGGAAUAAUGAAAUAGGACGUUCGAACCUAUUUUGUUGGUUUCUAGGAUCGACGUAAUGAUUAAUAGGGAUAGUUGGGGGCAUUAGUAUUCAAUUGUCAGAGGUGAAAUUCUUGGAUUUAUUGAAGACUAACUACUGCGAAAGCAUUUGCCAAGGAUGUUUUCAUUAAUCAAGAACGAAAGUUAGGGGAUCGAAGACGAUCAGAUACCGUCGUAGU
rnacentral:rRNA from 1 species